rnacentral:lncRNA from 1 species
CAAGAUUUCCUUCUGUAGCUGCCGAGAUUUUUUUUGCUUGGUAAGUCACAAUUACGAAAUACAAGUUGAUGUGUUGUAAUGUUCAUUUGAAUGAGGAAGAACAUAGGUGUACAUGGAUGUUAACCUCUUCUGGUAAAUUUUCUGUUAGGUCUUUGUAUACUAUCCCAGAGGCUAGUUAAACUAGAUGCCCAUUUAAGAAAAUGUGGUACAUGAAAGUGCCAGUGAAAAUCAAAGUUCUUUUUUUUUGUGUGUGGUUGGUGUUUAAAAAGAGUAUUUUGACUAGAGACGUCUUAGAUAAAAGAUGUGGAGUGGGAGGUGAUAGAUGUUUGUUUUGUGGUUGGCGUACAUGGAUGUUAACCUCUUCUGGUAAAUUUUCUGUUAGGUCUUUGUAUACUAUCCCAGAGGCUAGUUAAACUAGAUGCCCAUUUAAGAAAAUGUGGUACAUGAAAGUGCC